rnacentral:rRNA from 1 species
GACGGAGGAUGCAAGUGUUAUCCGGAAUCACUGGGCGUAAAGCGUUUGUAGGUGGUUUAAUAAGUCAACUGUUAAAUCUUGAGGCUCAACCUCAAAAUCGCAGUCGAAACUAUUAGGCUAGAGUAUAGUAGGGGUAAAGGGAAUUUCCAGUGGAGCGGUGAAAUGCGUAGAGAUUGGAAAGAACACCGAUGGCGAAGGCACUUUACUGGGCUAUUACUAACACUCAGAGACGAAAGCUAGGGU